GCAUUCACUACGUAGACAUGAAUUGGUUCAGCUCCAACUUGUCAAAUCAAUUACACAGAAAUUUCACGAUGGAAACAAGUAGCAUAAAAUGACAACAUAUAUGAUUGGUCAUGCAAAUAAAAUAAUAACUUACCUUAAUACAAAAAUUAAAUUUCCAUAAUUAAUGAAACAAUUUUAUUGGCUUUAAAUUUGCUAUAACCGGCCUCUUAAACUCUCUCGCGACUUUUUUUUCUUCUUCUUGGCCCCAUC
rnacentral:lncRNA from 1 species